CAAGGUUUCCGUAGGUGAACCUGSGGAAGGAUCAUUG
rnacentral:rRNA from 1 species